UACGUAGGGUGCGAGCGUUGUCCGGAAUUACUGGGCGUAAAGCGUGCGUAGGCGGUUUGUUAAGUCUGUCGUGAAAUCCCCGGGCUCAACCUGGGAAUGGCGAUGGAUACUGGCGAGCUAGAGUGUGUCAGAGGAUGGUGGAAUUCCCGGUGUAGCGGUGAAAUGCGUAGAGAUCGGGAGGAACAUCAGUGGCGAAGGCGGCCAUCUGGGACAACACUGACGCUGAAGCACGAAAGCGUGGGGAGCAAACAGG
rnacentral:rRNA from 1 species